rnacentral:rRNA from 1 species
CUGGCCCUAAAUCUUGAUGCUCGAUCUUACCGGAGCAUCCGCCCGAGAACUACGAGCAUAAACGCUUAAAACUCUAAGGACUUGGCGGUGCUUCAAAUCCAC